rnacentral:rRNA from 1 species
AUACGUAGGUGACACGCGUUAUCCGGAUUUACUGGGCGUAAAGGGCGUGUAGGCGGUCUUGCAAGUCAGAAGUGAAAUUCCUGAGCUCAACUCGGGCGCUGCUUCUGAAACUGCAGGACUUGAGUGCUGGAGGGGAUAGCGGACUUCCUAGUGGAGCGGUAAACUGCGCAGUUAUUAGGGAGAACCACAGUGGCGAAGGCGGAGGUCUGGACAGUAAGUGAAGAUGAGGCGCGAAAGGGUGGGGAGUAGACAUGGUGAGAUCAGCGGGUAGACCAAGUCGUAUUCGGUGAAUACUAUGUAUAGGGGGUAUCGCGUCCGUAUGCGCCGCAGUAACAACAAUAAGUGUUCCGCCUUGGGAGUACGGCCGCAAGGUUGAAACUGAAAUGGGUUGGCGGGG